AGAGGAUGCAGCAUGCAAAAUGUCAUCUUGCAAGUGGAGGUCGGGCCCUUCCCAGAGACCAUACCUGCUGGCACAUGGCCUUGAGCUUUCCAGACUCUAGAACUGGGAGAAUGUCUUUCCUGGAAAAGUGUGACUUGGAUGAGAAGGCUUCACAAUGUGUAUAGAAGAGAGAGAGAGAGCGGAGGGACGGGUGAGGGAGAAAGACACUGAAGUUGCUGAGGAUGGAACCCAGGGUCUUGGGUAUGCUGGUUCCCCACCUCUGUUGAGAAUCUUCAAGCAUCAGAUGGCUUCUGUCACAACGCAAGAAGGAUGCAUACUGGAACUGUUCCCCAGGGAAGCUGAGAGAGUCCUUAGCACCUGGCUGUCACACGUAGCUUCUAUGUCCAGAUAAAACAUUCUCCAGGA